rnacentral:rRNA from 1 species
CAAAGAUUAAGCCAUGCAUGUCUCAGUACAAGCCAAAUUAAGGUGAAACCGCGAAAGGCUCAUUAAAUCAGUUAUGGUUCCUUAGAUCGUACCCACAUUUACUUGGAUAACUGUGGUAAUUCUAGAGCUAAUACAUGCAAACAGAGCUCCGACCGGAGACGGAAGGAGCGCUUUUAUUAGAUCAAAACCAAUCGGUGGCGGGUCUCCCGUCACCGUACACCUUGGUGACUCUGAAUAACUUAUUGCUGAUCGCACGGUCUCGCACCGGCGACGCAUCUUUCAAAUGUCUGCCUUAUCAACUGUCGAUGGUAGGUUCUGCGCCUACCAUGGUUGUAACGGGUAACGGGGAAUCAGGGUUCGAUUCCGGAGAGGGAGCCUGAGAAACGGCUACCACAUCCAAGGAAGGCAGCAGGCGCGCAAAUUACCCACUCCCGGCACGGGGAGGUAGUGACGAAAAAUAACGAUACGGGACUCAUCCGAGGCCCCGUAAUCGGAAUGAGUACACUCUAAACCCUUUAACGAGGAUCAAUUGGAGGGCAAGUCUGGUGCCAGCAGCCGCGGUAAUUCCAGCUCCAAUAGCGUAUAUUAAAGUUGUUGCGGUUAAAAAGCUCGUAGUCGAAUUUGUGUCCCGCGCCGCCGGUUCAUCGCUCGCGGUGUCAACUGGCGUGUCCGCGGGACGUCCUGCCGGUGGGCUUAGCCCCUCGCGGGCGGCCCAAUCUCAAUCCCACCGCGGUGCUCUUCAUUGAGUGUCGAGGUGGGCCGGCACGUUUACUUUGAACAAAUUAGAGUGCUUAAAGCAGGCUAAAACAUCGCCUGAAUACUGUGUGCAUGGAAUAAUGGAAUAGGACCUCGGUUCUAUUUUGUUGGUUUUCGGAACCCCGAGGUAAUGAUUAAUAGGAACGGAUGGGGGCAUUCGUAUUGCGACGUUAGAGGUGAAAUUCUUG